CAAUAGCGUAUACUAACGUUGUUGCAGUUAAAAAGCUCGUAGUUGGAUUUCUGACGGUGGUUGGAUUGGUGCGACCGCGUGUUGCAUCAACCAUACUAUUUUCAACAUAUGCGAUGAAUUGGUGUGGUUAAUUAAGUUUGAUCCGCCAUUAAAUCGCUCGUUUACUUUGAGAAAAUUAGAGUGUUCAAAGCAGGCAUAACGCCUUGAAUAUGUUAGCAUGGAAUAAUAGCAUAGGACUUUGGUUCUAUUUGUUGGUUGUUCGAGAACUGGAGUAAUGAUUGAUAGGGACGGUUGGGGGCAUCCGUAUUCUCAAGCGAGAGGUGAAAUUCUUGGACCUUGGGAAGACGAACAGCUGCGAAAGCGUUUGCCUAGGACGUUCUCUUUAA
rnacentral:rRNA from 1 species